UCACAGGACCAGUAACCAUUUAUGGCUCAAAUGCUGAAGGAAAUGAUAAACAGAAAUCCUCAGAGAUGUCAGAGGAACACAGAGAAAUACAAGCGCUGCAAAACUUUUUAGAAACUCACAAAACAAACAUGAAGGAGAAAACAGAAUAUAUUUUUGAGGGCAACAAAGACAAGGAAGCACAACUCAAGGCUGUUUACACAGAUCUGUUCAUCA